GUUUGCAGUCAGCUCCAUAUUUGCACCAUCUAUUAUAUUUUUGCUGAUCCCAAAGAUUUGCUCCUGAGCUGCCCUCUGUAGCAUUUAGAUAGAAGAUCCUGAGCACCCAGCCCUGCCUGUACCCUGUGGUUUCAGUGAAGCUAAGGCUCUAGCUCUGGUUUUUCAUCCCCAUGGAUUGAGUACUUUGCACCCUCUGUGCAGCAUCAGUGAUUUUUCCACGUGUGGAUAUGGUUUCAGUCAGAUCACCCGAGGGCCCACAUGGCAAGGAGGAGGCACGGCUCCGACUGAAGCUGACCUGCUCUGGCGUGAGGGUGUUGCAAGUGUCUGGUUAGCCCCCUUUCUGAGAACACAUACUCCCUUCACAGUGGAAACCUGAGUGUGUUUGAUCACGGAGUGCUGCCCACACCUCCCUGAAGGGUGUGUGAUGCUGGGACUGGGUGCUUUGUGCCCUCCCUGAAGACCCACAGAGUCUGACCCUGGAGCACUUCUGGCCCUGGAAUCUCCUAAGGGACUCAGACCUCUGCUACAUUCCUUACAGCUGUCAGCGCCUCCUCCGGGUGGCAAUAGAACAUACAGGUGGGGUGGGUGGAAGGGCAGUCAAAAAUUGUACAUGAGAAAGUUCCAAAGGCUCCAGAGCCAAGAAAGGUGCUUCUGACUUGGUCCAUGGUACUUUUUCCCAAGUCCCUUUUCUAGUGGUACCUGAAGCCUCAAGGCCAAACGUCUUCCGUUGUUCUGUUAUCUUUCGGGUACACACUGACAUCUGCUUCUCCCCGUGCCCCCAGGCCUCUCUAGAAUGUUUUCUGUAGGCUAUAGGACGAAGGUUACAGGAUAAUAAGCAUGAGUUCCUGCGCACAUCUAAAGGCCCUCUGGAGUCAAGGGGGUGAUUUUCGCUUCUGGGACUUCGCAGCCUGGGCACCUGCCGUCCCAGCGUUCCCAGGCACAGACAUAAUGCUCCCAUGCAGGUGCCCUGUCACCGGGGGCUAUUGAGGGGAAACUUGACUUUCCUAAGGGCAGAGGUGCAAACUGCAAGAGCACAGCCACAGCCCAGCACCAAGGAGGCCAAUUCUCUGCAGUUGCAGCUGGGCCAGCAGUUGGAUCGUGGUGACAACAGAGCCAGGCUCGACCUCUCCCCCACCAUCUGGAGCCUGGCAGCCAAGAUGGGUUCUGGGGACCAAAGGCCACUCUCCCAAGAGCUGGGUUUGGAUGCAUCCGUGGGCAUGACAAACCACACUCUCAAGCUGGAAGGUGAAACUGCUGAGGGCUCGGUGGCCAGUCAGUGUGAGUGUCAAGUCUUUGACCCCAUGAAGGCCCCAGGUGUCACGAAACACAAGAUUAUCAAGAGGAAACUGCAGUUCAUUCAGGGGCAACUUGCAUGCAGAUUUCCCGCCUUCAAGCUUAGGGCGCAGAGAAUUUGGUGA
rnacentral:lncRNA from 12 species